rnacentral:rRNA from 1 species
GAUGAACGCUGGCGGCGUGCCUAAUACAUGCCAGUCGAGCGAACAGACGAGGAGCUUGCUCCUUUGACGUUAGCGGCGGACGGGUGAGUAACACGUGGAUAACCUACCUAUAAGACUGGGAUAACUUCGGGAAACCGGAGCUAAUACCGGAUAACAUGUUGAACCGCAUGGUUCAACAGUGAAAGACGGUCUUGCUGUCACUUAUAGAUGGAUCCGCGCCGCAUUAGCUAGUUGGUAAGGUAACGGCUUACCAAGGCAACGAUGCGUAGCCGACCUGAGAGGGUGAUCGGCCACACUGGAACUGAGACACGGUCCAGACUCCUAAGGGAGGCAGCAGUAGGGAAUGUUCCGCAAUGGGCGAAAGCCUGACGGAGCAACGCCGCGUGAGUGAAGAAGGUCUUCGGAUCGUAAAACUCUGUUAUUAGGGAAGAACAAAUGUGUAAGUAACUAUGCACGUCUUGACGGUACCUAAUCAGAAAGCCACGGCUAACUACGUG